CACUACUAGAAAAGUGACUUUUUGCGUCUAAUUUUUUGCGACUGACUAUUUAACGGUCGCAAAAAAUCAAUAUUUACAACCACAAAAAAAUAAAUGAAUUGAAAUAUAUUUAUUUCAAAACAACAUGAUUUUCCUUCCCCAAUUUAUUAUUCCUAUUUCUUUUAUUUAUUUUAUAUGCCAAUGCCCUAGCCCCUUUCACUCUCACGACAUUCACAAACUCUCUCUCCCUUGCUCUCUUGCUCACCAUAGUCGCAGCUUCCGUGGUUUGAAUCUCUGUCUCUCGGUCUCUCACUUUCUUCAUCAUGCUCUGUUUCUCUGAUCUUCAAUUUCAUUUUCCGACUCGAAAUUCUAUUUUCCAAGUUGAAUUUUCUCGAAGAAAGUUGCAGCCUCUGCAAGAUUUGAUCGACGAUGAAGCAGAAAAUUGUUGAAUGAAAUUAGGUUAAUUGUUUGAUCGAGCAAAGAGGAAAAAAAAAAACAGAGAUGAGAAGCGUGAACAACAACGCUCUAGAUACGAUAAGCGCUGCUGCGACUGCGAUUGCUUCAGCUAGGACACAAGCUUCGGUUCAGAUUCGUAUGUUGGAUUUAGUGCUUAAGGCAUCACCUGAAGAUUCUAAUGAGCCUCAAACCGCUCGCAUCCUUCUUUACAAGUUAUUCUAUGAUCAAACUGAUCAAGGAAUGACUCAGUUCCUUUUAAACCAAAUCAAAUCAUUUGAUACUCAUAAACAAGCCAAAAGGUGUUGAAGUAAAAGCUGGGCAGCCUCUUAAGGUCAAUCCUGAAGUAGGCAGCGUCAUACACAUUUCCCAGGCAGCACUGGGUGAAGGAAAGAAGGGAAAAGGAAAUGACAUUGUCCCUCUUCAGGUGAAUAUUAAUGGCAAGAAAUUAGUUCUAGGAUCACUUUCUGCAGGGAAGUUCCCUCAAGUUUCAUUUGAUUUGGUGUUUGAGAAAGAAUUUGAGCUGUCACAUGACUGGAAAGAUGGGCGUGUCUACUUUUGUGGAUAUUCGGCAGAUAAUCAGUUUGAAUAUCCUUUACAUUUUUUCCUAGUUUCCUGUGCUGUUGAUUUCUCUUUUGCUGUUAUCAAUGUCUUUAUAUCAAUCUUUAGUGAGAUAUGCCGACAUGAGCUUCAAGAUGAGUCUUAAUUUGAAUUUGUGAUUUGUUUUCUUUAGAGUCUCACACAUUACUGUACACUUUCAUGUUGGUCCUUGAAUUUGAAGUAUGAAGUGUCCUAGGGCUUUGCUUGCUGCAUUAACGAUAUACUGGAAAUUCGUUUUACAAACCAAUUCAUGUUAAACUUCUUGUCUUCCCUUUCCAUUAUUUUCCACUGGCUUGCAAGUUAAAUUUAAACGCAAAUGUUUGCUUUUCCAUCUGGCUGUUCCUUAUUUUAUCAUUAAUAUGUAGUAUGUAAAUCUUAUUGAUAGAUUGUGUUAUUUCAAUAUCGAUUCUUUAUUUUUGAAUUUUUGUUCUGAUUUUGACCUGGAGGAGAUUGAAAACUGUUUAGAUUUCAAUUUUAUUUUUUGUUUCCUUGACGGUUGUUUUUUCUUUUCACCGAAGAUGUAGAAGACGAGUUUGGUGAGUCUUAAUACAUGUUGCUUAGAUGAUGGUCCUGCUUAAGUGUUUUUUCUCUUCACCAAUAAUAUGUGUUUGGUUCCUAUAUGUGUUUGCCGAUGUUGGUCAUUUCUCUGUUAGUUCAAUACAAAUAAGUAUGUGCGCUGUGACUUAUCCAGCACUCAUACUAGCUUACACCGGACAAGCCUCUUUCCUUAGGAAGCACAAUUAGUACGACUACUGCCAAGAUCGGACAUGCAUACGUAAAGAAGAUUACGAGUAGCAAGAUGAAAAGAAACCAAUAGGUGGUUUAACAAAGCCAAUGGCGCCCAACUGCAAUGAACAGAGUUCAAGAUACCAAGGUUGCGCUGCUUACAAGGAAGGAACAUUGUAUGGCAACCAUUGCUGAAGGUUCUGCAAAUUUUGAUAGCAAUUUGGUUGAAUGGAUCAUCAAUCUUGUAAGUACCUCUUUUAGUCUGCAAGAUGUAAUUGAUGAUACUCUGAUCGAGUUGGGAUUCGAUGGUGAGAUCUUUGAGUUCAUGAAUAUUGCAUGCAAAUGCGUUCAGUCGGUGCAGGCCAACAAUGCUGGAAGUGUACCAAACAAUGAGGGCCACUGGGGAGAAACAUGGCCUUGUGGACGAUUCUAAGAUGUGGAAAGAAACAGAAAUUGCUAUUGCCAGUGCUAACGAGGGAGAUGUUGAAAUAAUAAGGUAGACGAAAUGGGCUGGACAUGCUAAAUUCGAUGGGAAACAUUGUGUUGAUUUACUUAAUUUUUAAUGCAAUACUAUCAUCAUUAUUAGGACCACAACUUAUAAUAAGUUGCUGGAGUUGGUGACAUGUAUAGAAUUUUAUAUUUUGUAUGCACAUUUUUUUUUUUUUUUUGUUGAAGAAAGAACAU